rnacentral:lncRNA from 1 species
CUCUUUUAUACUUGUAUAACACUUCUAUCUUUAUGAAAGUACAUGAACUGAAGCUUGUACAACUUAGAUCAGUAAGGUGAUAAUUUGUGCCUCAUUUUAUCUUUUAUUUCUUGAUUACUUAGAGUGUGCAAGACACUCUAAGGGGUAGUCUAAGUUAAGGUCUGACUGUCGACGAGAGUUUGCAUUCUGCCGCUUUCGAAAGUCUGCAAUCAUGUGAGCCGGCUUCUUGCAAUAGUGGCAAAAUGAUCUUGGACAUGUUUCGUUGGCCUGAUGCACCAGUAGAGCUUCCAAAUUAAAGAUUCUAACCAUAGGUUCGAUGUCCCGAAGCAUGUUCAGCUAGUCCCAUAGAACAUUUGCAUCUUCGGGCUCAAGUGGAGGUGGAGCCUCAGCAGAAGGUGUGAUCUAUCACGACCCAAUUUUUCAAGCCAUGAUCGGCGCAUGAGCUCAAUGAGCAUAGCUCACUAAGCCCAAGCAAGCCUAUCAAUUUACCUUUGCUUAAC